rnacentral:rRNA from 1 species
AAUGAACGCUGGCGGCGUGCUUAACACAUGCAAGUCGUGCGCGAAAGUGGCCUCGGCUGCGAGUAGAGCGGCGAACGGGUGAGUAACACGUGGGUAAUCUGUCCUCGAGUGGGGGAUAACUCGGUGAAAACUGAGCUAAUACCGCAUUCGGUCACGGGGUAUCGGCUCCGUGAAGAAAGCUGGCCUCUGCUUGCAAGCUAGCGCUCGAGGAGGAGCCCGCGGCCGAUUAGCUAGUUGGCGGGGUAAUGGCCCACCAAGGCGACGAUCGGUAGCCGGCCUGAGAGGGUGAUCGGCCACA